UGGGGAAUUUUGGACAAUGGGGGAAACCCUGAUCUAGCCAUCCCGCGUGUGCUAUGAAGGCCUUCGGGUUGUAAAGCACUUUUGGUAGGAAAGAAACGUCAUGGGUUAAUACCCCGCGAAACUGACGGUACCUGCAGAAUAAGCACCGGCUAACUACGUGUCAGCAGCCGCGGUAAUACGUAGGGUGCAAGCGUUAAUCGGAAUUACUGGGCGUAAAGCGUGCGCAGGCGGUUCGGAAAGAAAGAUGUGAAAUCCCAGAGCUCAACUUUGGAACUGCAUUUUUAACUACCGGGCUAGAGUGUGUCAGAGGGAGGUGGAAUUCCGCGUGUAGCAGUGAAAUGCGUAGAUAUGCGGAGGAACACCGAUGGCGAAGGCAGCCUCCUGGGAUAACACUGACGCUCAUGCACGAAAGCGUGGGGAGCAAACAGG
rnacentral:rRNA from 1 species